UUUUUUUUUUUUGAAAAUAUAAAAUUUCUUAAUGCUCAAUUAUUACAAAUACCGUUUUUUCGUUUACAUUCCGCGUAAUAACACAAUACAGGCCGUCGUCCGUACAAUGUACUCGUUAUUAUUUAUUAUGUAUUAUUAACGUCGUAAACCCUACAAAUAUCGUAAUCUUUUUUUUUUUGGACGGAACUACCUACAGAUAUAAUAAUACAAUAACGCUGUUUAAUCUAACCCGUAAAUAUCUACAAUUAUUAUUACAAUAUGCGUUCGGUACGCACACGGUACAUAAAUAAUAAUUUUAUACACACGCAUAUAAUUUGUUUUUCAACCGUGUUUACCUAAACCAGUCGAAUUACAAAAAUUUAUCAACCCUAUUGUCGUCGUUAUUCAAUAAUUUUAAUUACAAUAAUUUUCGUCGCAAAUUACGGUACGCUAUAUAUUAGGUAUAAUAAUAAUAAUAAUAUAUUCGAACACGUUACAACCCACAACAAAAUUUAUAAAGCUGCGGUUUUUUUUU